AUUCGGUCAUAAAGCAAGGUCAGUGUCAUCGCGAGACGGGUUCGGGAUCGGAACUCAGUGACAUUUCACGACGCGUUGAACUUGGCUUCCUCGUGCACGGGCACACGAGGCCGGGCGGCCUGGGUCAGGUCGAGCUGGGUCAGCUUGGGCACAGGCUGCUUACUGGGUUCGAGCGGCAGAAAGUCUGUUUUGUUCAGAGGUCAGUCUGGAGAGUCUGACGUUUGUGCGAAUCCUCCCCUUUAAGGGGAUUUAAUCAGACUUAGGCCUCGGCUGCUGGCGUCCCUGCCUGACGUGUGCCACCCCAUCUUGAUCUCCACGCAGGCCCUCGGGUUCCUGGCGGGAUUCCACCGAGCCCGCAGCCCCGUGUCUGUGUCCCAGUGUGCAGUGAGUGACCUCCUCGGGGUGGGGGGGACAGCGGGCUGCUUCACUGCCCGGACCCUGACAGGGUGUCUAUGCUAGGGGCACGGGGGGCACGCCUUGCAGAGCUCAGAGGUCAGGUCAGCUGGGAGCCCGCGACCUCAGGGGCGCUGGUGUGGGGCGGGGAAGGCCCCAGAGCCCCCCUGUGCGACCAGGCCUCCUUCUGGAAGGAAAAGUGGGGAGAAACGAGGUAACAUCUCAGGCCCCCGUGUGAGCCGGGCGGUUUUUGCGAUGAGAUUGUUCUCGGGAAACUGGAGAUGCGGGGCCAGGCUCAGGCGCGAAGUAGGUGCUGGGGGUCCCGCGGCGGCAGCCCGCCCAGCACAGAGCUGCAUGCAGGGGUUCCGGCCAGUGAGCCACCAGCGCCUGGGGUGGGGGGGAUGGAGAGUUGCUCGGAGCAGAAUUCCUGUUUUCCUAAAUUGAGGGUAAGUUCACAUAAUGUAGAAUUAUCCAGUUUUAAGUGAACAAUUCAGGGGCAUUUGGUACAUUGGUUAUAUUGUGCCACCAUCACCCCUAUCUAGUUCCAGCACAUUCCAUCACCCCAAAAGAAGCCCCCGUCUCAUCAGCCAUCAUCUCCCCCCGCCCCCACGAGCCCCCUUCUCAUCCGUGGACGAGCCCGUUCUGGACGUUUCACACACGCGGACUCACACCCCGUGUGGCCUCUCGUGUCCGGGUCUCUCCCUGAGCGUCGUGUGUUCGGGUCCGUCACUCCUGCUCGUGGCUCAGUGAUGUGCGCAUGCACGGGGGACGCGUUGGUCUGUGGACGUGCGUGUGCACCGUGGACACGUCGUGUGUGUCCCUCCACAAGUGGGCGGGCAUCUUUGGCUGCUGGGAACAGUUGCGAGCGGGCAUCGUGGGCACACUCGCGUGUGCAGUUUGCGACGUGCACACACGGGCAGCGAGUCUCUGCCUGGCUGUCUUCCACGGCGGCCGGCCCGUUUUACCGUCUUCCCAUCGCUGCGUGGACGCGGUGCGGAUCCUGGGGUCGGACCCUGGCCUUGGUGCCUGGUGGACUCAGGCUGUCGCCAGGCACCGCGGACCAUGUGGUGUGUUUUCAUCAUCCGAGAGCCGGGUGCACGGAGAGGGCUGGGAAGCUGGACAAGUUUGGGCAGCCCCAAGCUGCGCUGCCGCCUUGGACUCCGUGGGCUGGUAAAACCUGCCCCGAGUGUUUGCCGCACCACUUUCUUGAGCGUGAGGUUCGUGUCCCUGCGAGGCAAGGCGAGGCGCCAGGGGCCAUGACUGCUUGCUCGUCUGUAGUUGCACCUGGUGGCUUCUUUCCAGCGUUUUCUUCCUGAAGUGGGGGCAUGGGGAGUGGGGGGACGGGGAGGGCAGAGCAGGGAUUCCCCCUCCCCCCCCCCAGCCUGCAGGAGCCCAGGCAGCCUUUUACCCUCCCCUCCAGGCCUCAUCGCAACUCGGGAAACUGAGGCUCAGGCAGUCCCAGUCGGUCACUCCUCCCAGAGGUGGGGGAUAUGAAGCAUCAUCUGCCUGAUCCUGGUUUCCAGCCACCUUCAGGGUCCGUCCGGGCACUGGCAACCCGCCUUGGUCCCGUGGAUUCCUGUGAUGGUCUCACAGACAGUGGCCUGAGCUCUGCGGAGGCAAAUGAUGUCCACACACAGCCCACGGUGUUUACAGCAGCUUCAUUCAUAAUUGGCCAAACCUGGGAGCAAGUGUGCUGCCCUUCCUUCAACAGGUGACAGAUAGACUGUGGUCCAUCCGGCACUAAGAACAAGCCAUCGAGCCACGCAGAGCCACAGAGGAGCCUCAGACGCACAGCACUCGGUGACAGAAGCCAGGCUGAGGAGGUGACACACGGGGUGGUUCCAAGUCCAGGAUGUUCUGGACAAGGCAGGACCACGGAGGCACGGCUGCCGGGGUGGGGGAGGGUGAAUGGGAGGAGCACAGGAAUUUCAGGGCCGUGGGUCUACUCCGGACGACACCGUGGUGGUGGGCAGGUGUCCGUGACAUUCGUCCGAACCCACGGGGUGUGCCGCACCAGGAGUGACCUCGUGUCCGCUGUGGACCGUGGUUCGUAACGUUCAGAGCUGGCUCACCCGUGUGACUAACGUACCAGACCAAUGCACAUUGCUAAUGAUGAAAAGACACCACGGUGAGGGAGACGGAGGGAACUCUGUGCAGGUCCUGCUCAGUUUUUUGUAACCCUCAAACUGAUUUUUUAAAAAGCCUAUUUUUUUUUUUUUAAACAAGGAUACUGAGAAGCAGGGCGUGGGUCCUUGUAAAGCGAGGUCUGGAUGUGACACCGAUGACAAAACGAGCAGAGGAUCUGAACAGCUGUUUCUCCGAAGAAGCCAUCCGGAUGGCUACCAGACACAUGAAAAGAUGCUCAGCGUCGCUCAGCAUCAGGGAAACGCACGCCAGAACCACAGUGAGUCCCCACCUCCCGCAGUUGGGAGCGGCUGAAAUCCACAGCUCAGGAAACACGUGUUGGCGAGGACGCCGAGAAACGGGAACCCUCUUGCACUGCUGGUGGGAGUGCAAACCAGUGCAGCCGCUCUGGAGAACAGUGUGGAGGGUCCUGAGAGCACAAAUACUACCCUUGGGUCCAGCAAAUGCACCACUAGGUACUUUCCCAGAGGGAGUGGAAGCUCUGGCGCGA
rnacentral:lncRNA from 1 species